ACUGCUAUCGGAUUGAUACUAAGCCAUGCGAGUCUUUGUAGCAAUACAAGGCAGACGGCUCAGUAACACGUAGUCAAUCUAACCUAUGGACGGGGAUAACCUCGGGAAACUGAGAAUAAUACCCGAUAGAUCAUUAUUCCUGGAAUGGUUAAUGGUUAAAAUGAUUUAUCGCCAUAGGAUGGGACUGCGGCCUAUCAGUUUGUUGGUGAGGUAAUGGCCCACCAAGACUAUAACAGGUACGGGCUCUGAGAGGAGUGGCCCGGAGAUGGGUACUGAGACACGGACCCAGGCCCUAUGGGGCGCAGCAGGCGAGAAAACUUUGCAAUGUGCGAAAGCACGACAAGGUUAAUCCGAGUGAUUUCUGCUAAAGGAAUCUUUUGUCAGUCCUAAAAACACUGAUGAAUAAGGGGUGGGCAAGUUCUGGUGUCAGCCGCCGCGGUAAAACCAGCACCUCAAGUGGUCAGGAGGAUUAUUGGGCCUAAAGCAUCCGUAGCCUGCUUCAUAAGUUUUCGGUUAAAUUCAUAUGCUCAACAUAUGGGCUGCCGGGAAUACUGUGCAGCUAGGGAGUGGGAGAGGUAGACGGUACUCGGUAGGAAGGGGUAAAAUCCUUUGAUCUAUUGAUGACCACCUGUGGCGAAGGCGGUCUACCAGAACACGUCCGACGGUGAGGGAUGAAAGCUGGGGGAGCAAACCGGAUUAGAUACCCGGGUAGUCCCAGCUGUAAACAAUGCAAACUCAGUGAUGCACUGGCUUGUGGCCAGUGCAGUGCUGCAGGGAAGCCGUUAAGUUUGCCGCCUGGGAAGUACGUACGCAAGUAUGAAACUUAAAGGAAUUGGUGGGGGAGCACCACAAGGGGUGAAG
rnacentral:rRNA from 1 species